AAGACUAUAGACCUGCGGAGUACCUGCGGAAGGAUCAUUAUCGUAUUGUAACAAUUGGGGGGGCCACCGUGGGCUGUCGCUGACCCUUUGAAAGGGGGGUCGUGCACGCCCCCAUAGUGUCAUCCUCAUACAAUCCAACUCACCUCUGUGCAUCACCGCGUGGGUUCCUUUCUGGGUCGAGUCAGACUGGCUCAGAAAAAAGGGGCUUGCGUUUUCCAUACAAGUACCCUUAUAAAUCCA
rnacentral:misc_RNA from 1 species